GCGCACACAGGCCCAUGUGGCUACUCCAUGCGUGCAGAUCACAUGGCUGUGCUGUCUGCUUUACGCAACCACGCAAAGCCACGGGGUCCUGGUCACACGAGACGUUUUGACCCGGAAAUGGCUAGGCAGAGGAAGUGCCUAGGUCCGCCGGGCAUGCGCAACCAUGCCCAACUGUGGGGGCGUGUCGUGAAUCCAUAUCAGCCUCCCCGAGGAGGUGGAGAAAAUGAAAGCCAGAAGAACAGACAGUUCGAAAAAACAACUGUGAGGCCAGCACAAAUAAAGGGCCUUCCUUCCCUGCAUGCUCGAGUACAAUGGAACACAGAGGAGACAAUGGGCGGGCACUCUAUGAUGCCACCAUCCUGCGCCCCAGGAAGAAAGGUGCAGAACACACCAGCUAAAGCCCGAAUCAGGAAGCCGCACUAAGGUGAGUCCCAGGGCAGGGGUCCAUGGGACCCAGUAACUGAAGAACAGAGGGGGAUGAAGACAAACUGAGUCCAGGCCAUGCUGAACUCAGAUCACGCUGAGCAUCUUCCUAUUGCAGAAGCCAGCCAUGCAUACGUAUGGCACAGGUUCUUUCCACUGGAGAGCAGCAGACGGGAGGGAAGGUAAAGUGGCAGCCAGGCCAGCCGAUAAGUCCCAGCUGACUAAGAUAUGAUUGCAGAAAACGGCAAGCGAAGGGGAGGGAAGACAGACCAGAGGCCACUCUGUCCUCCUGCCGGAGUGUAGAUAAAGAGAGAAAGCAAGCUAAGAACACGAGGGAAGAGGAGAGCGCAGAGGCCGGAGAGAAGACAGCCAGGGAGGACACGCUAUCUAACAGACAACAGACUCUACUCGGUUAAUAUAUAUAAGCCUGCCAUUAUGAAAAGGGCAGUCUGACAAAACGGAGUGCGGUAGCACAUGGCUGAGGUCCCGGCGCUUGGAAGGGGAGGCAGGGGCCAAACUUCAAAGCCAGACUGGGGUUUAGGAGCCCUUACCCGAAAACA